rnacentral:rRNA from 1 species
AUACGGAGGAUCCGAGCGUUAUCCGGAUUUAUUGGGUUUAAAGGGUGCGCAGGCGGGAGAUUAAGUCGGCGGUGAAAUUUUGCAGCUCAACUGUAAAAGUGGCUUUGAAACUGGGUUCCUUUAGUGUAGGUGAAGUAGGUGGAAUUUGUGGGGGAGCGGUGAAAUGCAUAGAUAUGACGAAGAACACCGAUUGCGUAGGCAGCUGACCAGACCGCAAAUGACGCUCAUGCACGAAAGUGCGGGGAUCGAACAGGAUUAGAUACCCUGGUAGUCCGCACAGUAAACGAUGAAUACUUGUUUUCGGCGAUAUAAUGUCGGAGGCAAAGCGAAAGCGAUAAGUAUUCCACCUGGGGAGUACGCAGGCAACGGUGAAACUCAAAUGAAUUGACGGGG